rnacentral:rRNA from 1 species
GGAUGCGAUCAUACCAGCACUAAUGGCACCGGAUCCCAUCAGAACUCCGAAGUUAAGCGUGCUUGGGCGAGAGUAGUACUAGGAUGGGUGACCCCCUGGGAAGUCCUCGUGUUGCAUCCC